AAAAAAAAAAAAAAAAAGAGAGAGAGAGAGAAAAAUGGUGGUGUUUGGAGCGCGAGAUGGUGGGAUAAAGGCGCUGAUCCCUCCUCCCGGAUCUAGAGCAAAGCCGGCCAUUGCAGUUCCAUUUAUCCUCUUUUUCUUGUGCAAUGAAUUGUCUGAUCCGGACUAUUCGGUUGCAUUUGCAGCUUCACUUACAAGUUUGGUUUUGUGGUUUUGUUGUGCUUUUUUUCCCCUUUUUGUUUCUUUUUUUUUUAUUGGGUUGUUUUGGGUUUGUUUUUUCUUUCCUUUUUUUUUUUUUUUGGUGUAUUUUUUCCUUUUUUUCAUUAAAAAGUAAUCCUCCCCAAAUCUCCCAAGGAAAAUCUACCUCUUUGUGGAACAAAUAAAAUAUUCAGGCACAAACUUCCGCCAUGGACUGUAAAAAAAAGAGAUGGGUUGUUUUUUGUUCUUUUUCUUUUUUAAUUUUUACUUUUUUAUGGCAUUUUUUUCUCCUGCUUUUAGGAUACAUUGUAGUAGAAAGCCAAUGGAGGAAAACAAAGGUAAUAUAUAUAUAUAAAAUCAAAAAUAUAUACGGGCCAAAUGAUAGUGAUUAUAUAUAAUUAAAUCAUAGUUUUUAGGUGUGUGGGUUUAUCUUAUAUUUUAAGCAGUUCCCGUAAAAAGGAGAUAUACAUAUAAAUAUGUAGUCAACAUACAGAAUAUUUAUAUAUGUAUGUAGUAAAUAUAUAGAAAUAUUUCUAUAUCUGUAGAAAUAAUAGAGCAUCUACAUGGGCCUAAAUCUGAAAUUCCAUGGGGAAAAAAGCAGUAUUUUAGGCAUGUAGCUUUUAACAAGGAAGGGGCAACGUUGUAGCCUGUGACAACACUGUGAUGCAGACAAAAAGGUAAGGCAACAUUAAAAAAAUAUAAAAAAAAAAAAAAGAAAAAAAAAGCGUAUGUGGUACCUUGGCUGCAGCCUCCAACAACGAGCGUGUGGAUGUUACGGGAUUUUGGUUUUUUAUGGUAUUACCACGUCUGAUCACACCAAUAUAUGAUUUUAAUUAAGCGAAUGGCGGGCGAGCUGUCGUGGGGAGCAGGCAAGCGGCGAUGGCUUCUUCCCACACCACUCCGGCUCCGAAGAUAAAUCAGUCCUCGGGUGUUAGGGGAUUUCUCCUUGGUUUGUUUUUUUUCCCCCAAGCACGUUUGGGUAUUUUCCAUGCCGUGAGGAAAGCGGGAGAUGGCGGCUCCGACCCCUGCGAAGGAGAAAAGCAGUGCAAGAGAACAGAAUUAGGCAUUAAACUACCCACCUUGGGUGAUGAGUCCCCAAAGUCAAUAAGCCGCCUUGACAAACAGGAUAACCUCUGCGAGAAAUAUCUGGGAUUUUUAAUAAAACACCUCACAGGCUCUACUGGACAGUCUAGCAAAAUAAAGAUGUAACUUAAACUGC